rnacentral:misc_RNA from 1 species
UUUCCGUAGGUGAACCUGCGGAAGGAUCAUUAUCGAGUUUCCACAGGGCUAUAGCUGACCUUGCGCGGACCGCGCAAGCACCCCUCUGCCACUUCACACAUGUGCAACUCAUGUGGAUAUUACUGACCGAUCUGUUCUCGUUUACCCACGCUGGUGGUGUGUGUCACUAUCUGCCUUUAUCCUUACCCGUAUAGAAUAUUUGAUUAUGUUCCACGCCGCUCUGCAUCUUUAUAGAACUUUCAGCAACGGAUGUCUUGGCUUUCGCAACGAUGAACAACG